rnacentral:rRNA from 1 species
AACGAACGCUGGCGGCAGGCUUAACACAUGCAAGUCGAACGCCCCGCAAGGGGAGUGGCAGGCGGGUGAGUAACGCGUGGGAAUCUACCCAUCCCUACGGAAUAACGCAUGGAAACGUGUGCUAAUACCGUAUACGCCCUACGGGGGAAAGAUUUAUCGGGGAUGGAUGAGCCCGCGUUGGAUUAGCUAGUUGGUGGGGUAAAGGCCUACCAAGGCGACGAUCCAUAGCUGGUCUGAGAGGAUGAUCAGCCACAUUGGGACUGAGACACGGCCCAAACUCCUACGGGAGGCAGCAGUGGGGAAUAUUGGACAAUGGGCGCAAGCCUGAUCCAGCCAUGCCGCGUGAGUGAUGAAGGCCUUAGGGUUGUAAAGCUCUUUCACCGGAGAAGAUAAUGACGGUAUCCGGAGAAGAAGCCCCGGCUAACUUCGUG